UACGAAGGGUGCAAGCGUUACUCGGAAUUACUGGGCGUAAAGCGUGCGUAGGUGGUUUGUUAAGUCUGAUGUGAAAGCCCUGGGCUCAACCUGGGAACUGCAUUGGAAAUUGGCUGACUAGAGUGCGGUAGAGGGGUGUGGAAUUCCCGGUGUAGCAGUGAAAUGCGUAGAUAUCGGGAGGAACACCAGUGGCGAAGGCGGCACCCUGGACCAGCACUGACACUGAGGCACGAAAGCGUGGGGAGCAAACAGG
rnacentral:rRNA from 1 species